GACGGGGGCCCGCACAAGCGGUGGAGCAUGUGGUUUAAUUCGAUGCAACGCGAAGAACCUUACCUGGUCUUGACAUCCACAGAAGAAUCCAGAGAUGGAUUUGUGCCUUCGGGAACUGUGAGACAGGUGCUGCAUGGCUGUCGUCAGCUCGUGUUGUGAAAUGUUGGGUUAAGUCCCGCAACGAGCGCAACCCUUAUCCUUUGUUGCCAGCGGUCCGGCCGGGAACUCAAAGGAGACUGCCAGUGAUAAACUGGAGGAAGGUGGGGAUGACGUCAAGUCAUCAUGGCCCUUACGACCAGGGCUACACACGUGCUACAAUGGCGCAUACAAAGAGAAGCGACCUCGCGAGAGCAAGCGGACCUCAUAAAGUGCGUCGUAGUCCGGAUUGGAGUCUGCAACUCGACUCCAUGAAGUCGGAAUCGCUAGUAAUCGUGGAUCAGAAUGCCACGGUGAAUACGUUCCCGGGCCUUGUACACACCGCCCGUCACACCAUGGGAGUGGGUUGCAAAAGAAGUAGGUAGCUUAACCUUCGGGAGGGCGCUUACCACUUUGUGAUUCAUGACUGGGGUGAAGUCGUAACAAGGUAACCGUAGGGGAACCUGC
rnacentral:rRNA from 1 species